rnacentral:lncRNA from 1 species
AAUUUGUUUUUUUCUGGUGGUGGUGGAUGGCACAGAAAGGGGCAGAUGCAGUGUUAGGGUUUGAGGAAAAAUGAGAGUGAAGAGAGAGAAGGGUAAUGAUGAAGAGUGAAUCAAUAUUUGUUUAGAAGCAGAGAGAAACAAUGAAGAAUGAAUCGAAAGUUGUUUAGAAGCAGAGAGAAACAAUGAAGACACAAUCAAUGGUUGUGCAAGAAGCAGAGAGAAACAAUGAAGACAUAAUCAAUGGUUGUUAAGAAUUUCUAUCCUCCUCAAAUUUAUCCUUAUCGUUUGAAUAUUUGCUGAUUUUCAGAUUGCUUGUUUUGCCUUUGUUAGGGUUUCUGUUCUCCUGAUGAUAUCAUCUCUACGGUUGGAGUUCUUUCUUCUUUGCUCGUUGUAAGUCUUGGUUUUACUUUAUAAGAUCCCUUGUCUGUUAUCUGAGAUCCUGUUGUUGUUCUGAUUCCUUUUCUAGGUGCUUUUCAUGGUAUCCACAUUGUUAGUUAAAGUUAAUAUUAACCUUAGAUUAAUGUGUGGUCUAAUGUGUCUCCAUGUUUGAGACAUCUAGGACAGAAUAGAGGACAAUUCACUCCUCUUUUGCUGAGUUAUAUUAUGACCAGUAUAACUUCAUUUAGGAUACGUCAAGAUAGAGUUUUGAUUCUAGGCCGAAUUUCUAUGCUCCAUUCCAAUUAGUUUCAACCUCGGUAUAAUUGGAAGGACCAACAUCAUUACAAUUACUAGCAGCCCUGUAGAUGUUAGUGUUUGGAAAGUAUUUAGCUUUAAGGCUUUUGUAGAUGAUAUUGUCUUGAUUAGUGAGGAUUCUCAAUAUUUGGGAUGGCAUUGUAGGUUGGAUCUUGUUUUCUCUAUUUAAAAUAGGAAACUGUGAUUUUCUUCCACUCUUGUAGGUUCACUUUCUAUUUGGGUUUUUCCUUAUGCUAGAAAUUUUGGUUAAGGUACAUAGAGCACUAGCUUAUUUCAUUUUUCCUCCUACCGGGCUUAUUUGUUAGUUCAAAAAAGAAACCACUUCGAUGAUCUUGUUGAAAGACUUGGAUGUUGUUCUUUCUUGCAUAUGUACUUAUUAUGAGCCAUGUAGGAAUGUUGACUUUUGUUUAGUUUUUAUAUACUUCUUUUUAUCCGCAUCUCCUUUACUCGUCAAUUGAUGAAUAAUUCCUCUGCUUCACUGUUUGCACCCGUUUAUUUUGUUUUUGUUUUCAUGUUUCAAAGUAUUGAGUGGUGGUAGUUCAAUCUUUUUAUAUGUUCAUAAACACAAACAAUUUUAUUCUGCACAACAUCCCUUUACAUUAUGAGUAAAACUACUAUGUCAUGAUAUACUUAUGUUGAAUAUUGUAUCUAGUGGUGUUGUUUAUUCAUGGAAACAAGUACAUAAUAUAAUAUUUUCAACAUGUUGUAUAACAUAAUUACUAUCUAUUGGAAAAAAUAGGUAAAAACAGUUCUAUUUUAUUCGUCAGCUUUAGGCUGGUUUAUAUAGUGAGGAUACAAUUAUUACAAUUGAUUUUCUCCUUAAUGGAGAAUAAAGAAAAAUAAAGGUAGUAUUAAAGACAAUCAUAAAAUCGGAAAUAAUAUAUUUUCCAACACCCCCUUCAAGUUGGUGGUUUAUAUAGUGAGGAUACAAUUAUUACAAUUGAUUUUCUCUUUAAUGGAGAAUAAAGAAAAAUAAAGGUAGUAUUAAAGGCAAUCAUAAAAUCGGAAAUAAUAUAUUUUCCAACACCCCCUUCAAGUUGGUGCAUAGAUAUCUAUCAUGCCCAACUUGUCUAUCAAAUACUCAAAAGUAGGUCUUGUCAAACUUUUGGUCAGGAUAUCCGCAGUUUGUUGACUUGAAGUCACGAAGGGUAGACAUAUGAUUCCCACAUCUAACUUCUCCUUUAUGAAGUGUCAAUCAAUCUCGAUAUGCUUGGUUCUGUCAUGUUGAACUGGAUUAUGAGCUAUGCUAAUAGCAACUUUACUGUCAGAGUACAAUUUUAAUGGAAGCUCAAUUUUCAUCUUAAGUUCUUCUAGGACUCUAAGGAUCCAUAAUCCUUCACAAAUACCUUGAGACAUAGCUCUAAACUCGACCUCUGCACUACUCCUUGCUACAACUCCUUGUUUCUAAAGUUCUUCUAGGACUCUAAGGAUCCAUAAUCCUUCACAAAUACCUUGAGACAUAGCUCUAAACUCGACCUCUGCACUACUCCUUGCUACAACUCCUUGUUUCUUGCUCCUCCAUGUCACAAGAUUAUCCAAACAUAUAUACAAUAUCCAGAUGUUGAUCUUCUAUCUGUGAUUGAACCCGCCUAAUCGGCAUCGGUGAAGAUAAACACAUUUCUUUCACUAGUCUUCUUAAAAAAUAAUUCUUUUUCAGGAUUUUCCUUCAAAUAUCUUAGUAUCCUAUAGACUGUCUCAAGAUGUUCCUCCAAAGGAGAAUACAUAAACUGACUCACUACACUAACUGAGAAAGCAAUAUCAGGUCGGGUGUGUGACAAAUAAAUCAGUUUCCCGACCAAUCUCUGAUAUCUCCCAGUAUCAACAAAAACAUUACCUUCUCCCCAAAGUUUAACAUUAGGAUCCAUAGGGGUAUCUGCAGGACGACAUCUACUCAUUCCUAUUUCUUUCAACAAGUCUAUAAUGUAUAUCUGUUAUGAAACCACAAUACCAUUUUUUGACCGAGCAACCUCCAUACCUAGAAAAUAUCUCAUGAAUCCCAGGUCCUUGAUUUCAAAGUCUACUGCCAAUUUCUCUUUUACUCUUGCCAUUUCCACCGUAUCGUCUCCAGUGAGGACAAUAUAAUCAACAUAAACAAUCAGGACAACAACUUUUCCAUUGUGGGAGAAUUUUUGUGAACAAGGUGUGAUCAGCCCGUCCUUGGAUGUACCAUUGUUUCUUCAUGGACUGUGUGAAUUUUUAGACCAAGCUCUAAGGGACUGCUUUAAUCCAUACAAAGACUUAUUUAGUUUGCACACAUUUGAUCCAAAUUUGUUUUCAAAGCCAGAAGGGAUGUCCAUAUAUACUUCUUUUUCUAGACCGCCAUUAAGAAAUGCAUUCUUAACAUCUAACUGAUACAAAGGCCAAUCCAUGUUAUCAACAAGAGACAAAAGAAUUCUGACAAUGUUUAAUUUUGCAACAGGAGCAAAUAUCUCUGAGUAAUCUAUACCAUAGGUCUGAGUAAAGCCUUUAGCCACCAAGUGAGCCUUGUACCUUUCAAUUGACCCAUUUGAAUUAUACUUCACAGUAAACACUCAUUUGCAUCCAACUAUCUUCUUGCCAUCUGGUAGUGACGUAACACUCCAAGUUUUGUUCUUUUCAAGAGCUUUCAUCUCCUCAAGUACAACUUUCCUCCACUUUGGAAUUUUUAGAGCAACCUGUACAUUUUUUGGAAUUUCUACACCUAGACAAUUUUGAAAUGAAGGCAGAAAUAAAUGAAGACAAAUUUGAAUACAAUAUAAAAUUGGACAUGGGAUGUUUAGUGCAAGAUUUGACAGGUUUUCUAAUGGCAACAAGAUCAUCUAUAUCCGGAUACAAAAUACGACUCUUAGAAACAGAUAAACUUACCUUUUCUUAUGUUAGAAAAUUGAUCAUUCCCCGGUUCAGAUUCCUGGCAGUGUUGAGAUGUGGACUGAUCCUUCUUUAUGGUGCUUUUUCACAAAAACCUUUCCUUUCCAAGUCCUGUUUCCUAAUUCAAAAUUGUUUUGUUGAAGUGACUCAUUAUUUUGUGGCAUUUCAAUUAGAUCAUCAUUAUCAUCGUUUUCAGGAUUCUCAUUGUUUUCUAUAAGAGAAAAUGUAGGCUUGAAUUCACAAGGAUAAUGUUAAAAUAUUCUUUGCUAUUAUCACUUCUAAAGACUUGGAUAUUUGUUUGAAAUUGGUUCUGCACCAUUGAAAAAAAAUUCUUUAUAACCUGACAAACAUCUGAUUUCCCCUUUAACAAUUUCACCCAACAUACUCUUGUAUGAUCAUAUAUAAAUGUGAUAAACCAUUUUUUGAGAGAGAGUGUACUUGUACGGUUAGGGCCCCAAACAUCACUGUGAAUAAUAGAAAAAUGUUUUGAUAGUUUAAAAGACUGUAUUGAAAACUGGGAACGAUGAUGCUUUGCAAACUCACAUGCUUCACAUUUAAACGAAGACAAGUUUUUAUUGUGAAAUAUCUUAGGAAACAAGUGUUUUAAGUAACAAAAAUUAGGAUGACCUAAUCUUAAAUGCCAUACCAUAAUAUUGUCAUCUUCAUUAUUCAAAACAAAAAAAGACUCAAAGCAGGAACUUAUUGUUUUUGAAGGUAAUUGUGAUGCAAAUCCAAUGUCAAGGUAGUAGAGUCCUCCACUCUCCUUAGCACUGCCAAUCAUCUUCCCCGAGUUCAAAUCCUGAAAGACACAGUGAGAUCGAAAAUAAUUAGUUUGAUAAUUUAUAUCUUGGGCUAAUUUACCGACGAACAUUAAAUUACAAGAUAAAUUUGGAACAUGAAGGACAUUUUUAAGAGUUAACAUUGGAGACAACACAAUCGAUCCAUUACUUGCAAUGGCUGAAAAAGAAUCAUCUGCGGUUUUUAUUUUUUGAUUACCUGCACAUGGACUAUAUGAAGAGAACAAAGUAGAUUCACAUAUCAUGUGAUCGGAGACACCUGAAUCUACUAUCCAAGUAUGACUGAGACUGACACUAAGAAAUGCAAAAAUUAUCUUUUGUUGCUAUAGAGUAAGAAGGGGUUGGAGACUCGAGGAGUUUGUACAGUUUGUCUAGUUAAUACGUAGUGAGUGGAAACUGAGACGGAGGAGGUUGCUGCCCUUGAUCAGAAUUACUAGCCUGAAAUGCACGACCACUUUUCUUCUUCCAGUUAGGAGGUUUGCCUUUGAGCUUCCAACAAGUUUCAUGUGUAUGCCAUCCGCGUUUGCAGUGAUCACACCAAGGAACUUUGUCUGAUCUUCUUCCCUCGUCAAGGUUCCUAGUUCGUACGCCGUUUCCGCGUCCGACGCCCGACUCAAUUUGCGGUUGUUCGCCAUGGUUGGAUCCAGGAUAGGCCUGUGAUGGGGGAAGGCCACUUGUUGUUGUUAUUCGCCAUAAGAGGCUAAACGGGUAUGUGAAUCGGGUCAGGUAAGAAAGCGGGUUGAACCAAAAUAUGUUGAGGAAAACUUUAUGGUAAAUCCUAACCCAACAAAAAUAGGCUGAGGAAAGCUUUACGGUAACCCCUAACCUAGUGCUCUUGACUCAAUAACAAUAAGUUGAGGAAAGCUUUACGGUAAUCCCUAACCCAGUUCUCUUAACUCAAUAAUAAUAGGUUGAGGAAAGCUUUACGGUAACCCCUAAUCCAAUGCUCUUGAUACCAUAUUGGAAAAAAUAGGUAAAAGCUGUUAUAUUUUAUUCGUCAGCCUUAGGUCGAGGAGUUUGUACAGUUUGUCUAGUUACUACGUAGUGAGUGGAAACUGAGAUGGAGGAGGUUGCUACCCUUGAUCAAAAUUACUAGCCUGAAAUGCACGACCAUUUUUCUUCUUCCAGUUAGGAGGUUUGCCUUUGAGCUUCCAACAAGUUUCAUGUGUAUGUCAUCCGCGUUUGCAGUGAUCACACCAAGGAACUUUGUCUGAUCUUCUUCCCUCGUCAAAGUUCCUAGUUUGUACGCCGUUUGCGCGUCCGACGCCCGACUCAGGUUGCGGUUGUUCGCCAUGGUUGGAUCUAGGAUAGGCCUGUGAUGGGGGAAGGCCACCUGUUGUUGUUAUUCGCCAUAAGAGGCUAAACGGGUAUGUGAAUCGGGCCAGGUAAGAAAGCAGGUCGAACAAAAAUAUGUUGAGGAAAGCUUUAUGGUAAACCCUAACCCAACAAAAAUAUGUUGAGGAAAGCUUUACGGUAACCCGUAACCUAGUGCUUUUGACUCAAUAACAUUAAGUUGAGGAAAGCUUUACGGUAAUCCCUAACCCAGUUCUCUUAACUCAAUAACAAUAGGUUGAGGAAAGCUUUACGGUAACCCCUAACCCAAUGCUCUUGAUACCAUAUUGGAAAACAUAGGUAAAAACUGUUAUAUUUUAUUCAUCAACCUUAGGUCGAGGAGUUUGUACAGUUUGUCUAGUUACUACGUAGUGAGUGGAAACUGAGACGGAGGAGGUUGCUGCCCUUGAUCAGAAUUACUAGCCUGAAAUGCACGACCAUUUUUCUUCUUCUAGUUAGGAGGUUUGCCUUUGAGCUUCCAACAAGUUUCAUGUGUAUGCCAUCCGCGUUUGCAGUGAUCACAUCAAGGAACUUUGUCUGAUCUUCUUCCCUCGUCAAGGUUCCUAGUUCGUACACCGUUUUCGCGUCCGACGCCCGACUCAGGUUACGGUUGUUCGCCAUGGUUGGAUCCAGGACAUGCCUGUGAGGGGAAAGGCCACCUGUUGUUGUUAUUCACCAUAAGAGGCUAAACGGGUAUGUGAAUCGGGUCAGGUAAGAAAGCGGGUUUAACAAAAAUAUGUUGAGGAAAGCUUUAUGGUAAACCCUAACCCAACAAAAAUAGGUUGAGGAAAGCUUUACGGUAACCCCUAACCUAGUGCUCUUGACUCAAUAACAAUAAGUUGAGGAAAGCUUUACGGUAAUCCCUAACCCAUUUCUCUUAACUCAAAUACAAUAGGUUGAGGAAAGCUUUACGGUAACCCCUAACCCAAUGCUCUUGAUACCAUAUUGGAAAAAAUAGGUAAAAAUUGUUAUAUUUUAUUCGUCAGUCUUAGGCUGAUUUAUAUAGUGAGGAUACAAUUAUUACAAUUGAUUUUCUCCUUAAUGAAGAAUAAAGAAAAAUAAAGGUAGUAUUAAAGGCAAUCGUAAAACCGGAAAUAAUAUAUUUUCCAACACUAUCAUUUUUUUUAUGUUGAUAUGAUGAUUUAAUAUUUAACAUAUAUUUUUUCAGAUAUUUGGAAAUUCAAAGUCAUUUUCUAAGGAUGAACAAAUAUUUGUUCACAAAGUCGUGCAAAUAUGAUAUUUCAACCUAUUGAAGCAAUUGAGACAAUCAUGUCGAUUGGUGAAGCAUGUGAGAACAAUAAUCUAGAUUGUAGCAGGUCUGAAUAAGCACUCAAAUCAUCCUCAUAUGUGAAUAUCUUUAGCCAUCCCUUUCCAAAAGAAUAAGAAUUUAACAUCAUAUGUCAUUAGUGUUGAACUUCCAUUGAACAAUAAUCCCAAACUCUCUCUCAGAAUACCCCAAACCACAAAAAUAAGGAAUAUAAUCAUCUGGAUGAAUAUCAUAAACAAGCCCCAGAUCAUUUGCUUUAACAUGAUUAACCUGUCCUACACCAGUAGCAAAAACAUCAGUAGGUAGAAGUCUUUGAUCUCUUAUAGGUAAGCCACCAAGAUUGACAGUAUUAGUUGUUGCUUGAUUGCUGAUUUUAUAGCGGACGACGACCAAUCAGGGUGAGAACUUUUGAUCAAUGCAGCAAUAUCGUUGAGAUGAGGGCAAGACAUCGAAGUACCAGAAAUAAUGUUAUAGGAUGUGAAUUUGUUGUCUACCGGAACAUGCCAUGCAGCAAGAAUGUUGACACCUGGUCCAAUGAUGUCUUAUUUAAGAAUUCCAGGACUUUCUCGACUUGGUCCUCUAGAAGAAAACGAGACCACAAAAGGAGCAUUUGAAUCACCAACUAUCGUUCCUUUGAAUGACAAUGUUGUUGUUGGGUUGUAGGUUUUGUUUAUGUAAUGUUUGAUCAUUAAACCAGCUGCAUAAGUCACUUCAACGGCCGGUAAAACAUGAGGAUUAACAAAAAUGCUGAAAUUUAAAGUUGCUGAAUUUGCAAGUAUCAUGCCAACAUCACCUGAGUUUAGAACUUCUUUCCUGGAACAAUACUUAGAGCUUCUCCUUACAUAUCACAAAGCACUACUUUUCCUCGUACAUCAAUGUUCUUUAAGGAACCUAGUAAACAAAGGGACUGAUUCCUAUUUUGUGCACCUACAUACACAAGGGGCAACAAGUAUUGAGAAAAAUCCUUAGGUUAUAUCAAUGUUUCACCUUCAAAUUUGUCACCAUUUCCUAGCUUUGCCGAUGCGAUUAUUUUUCUGUUGUCCGUGCUUGCACCUACUAUGAGAAACCAAGGAGCUUUGUUUACCAAGGUGGCGUAGUUAGGGCCAGAAUUUCCUGCAGAGCAACUAACAAAAAUUCCCUUUUGAAUAGCUGCAAAAGCCCCAACUGCAAUCGGAUCUUGAAAGAUUGGAAGAGAACCAAAACCAAGUGAAAGAAAAAGUACAUCUACACCAUCUUCAAUAACUUUGUUCAUUGCAGCUAAAACAACACUUUCAGGGCAUCCAAUUUUGGCAUCACACAUUUUGUAAAUUGCUAUGUGACCAUUAGGUGCCAUACCAGCCGUUACACCCUUAGCAUUUUCAAAAAGACCUUCAUUUUCUAUGAAUCUUCCUCCAGCUAUUGCAACAGUGUGUGUUCCAUGGAUAUCACUCUCAAACGGAAGCUUUUGAGUCACACUUGAGACUAAAUUCCUUGCACCAAUGAGCUUGUUGUUGCAGGUUGUUCCUCUAUUGAAUUGACAAUGGCAUUUCCAUUUUGCAGGUGGUGGAGGCAUUCCUUCGCCACUGAAUGAUGGAUGGAAAAGGUUUAUCCUGGUGUCUAUGACUCCAAUUGUGAUAUCUUUUCCGAGAUUAUCAGCACUCCACAAACCUUGCCCUUUUUUCAACCCCAAGAAAGUUGGAGUGUGAAUUCUAUGCAAAGAGAGUUUUCUCUCAAGUCUUACUGACACAACUACAUGCUUCUCUCGAAGAUCUUCAACGCAAAUCCAGAUGCAACAUUGUGGAAAGAGAACACCACCCUUUCUUUGCAAUGGAAAGCUUUUGGAAGAAAAGAGUGAUACUAGUUAUCUUGUGAUUGUAUUGAAGUUACAUUUUCCAACCUUUUGACAUUAACAUUGUAUGUUAUUAAGUUCAAGUUGUGAUCAUCGGUUUGAUUCUUCCUUGCAAGAAAUACCGUCGUGGUUUGAAUGGUACUGCAGAUAAAGAACAAGAAGAGAAGAAGAAACUGUAUAUAUUUCAAUGAUGAAACUUGGUGUGAUUUGCGUGGAAUGGUGUAUGCAUAUAAAAUUCAAUUUUAAUCAAAUAAAUUUUCCCUAUAACUCAAAGUUGCACCUCAGUGUGGUAUAUUUUUAGGACGAGUUUGGAUAUCCUAAAAAGACACUGUAUAGCCAGAUUCAAACUCGUUCUAAAAAUACACCACACUGAGGUGAAACUUUAAGUUAUACAUGAAAAUUUAUUUGAUUAAAACAGAACUUCCUAUAUGCAUACACCAUUCCAUGCAAAUCAAACAAGUUUAUCAUGAUGUUGAUACAGUUUCUUUUUCUCUUCUUGUCUUUAUCGCAGUAUCCAUUAAUCCACAACGAUAUUUUCUACUAGGAAAAAUUAAACAGAUGAUCACAACUUAAUACAUAUAUUGUAAAUGUCAAAAGGUUGGAAAAGUAACUUCAAUAAAAUCACAAGAUAACUGGUAUCACUCUUUCUUCCAAAGCUUUGGAUACAAAAGAAAGGGUGUGUUCUCUUACCACAAUGUUGCAUUUGGCCUGAAGAUCUUCGAGAGAAGCAUGAAGUUGUGUCAGUAAGACUUAAGAGAAACUCUCUUUGAUACAACUACCACUCUAACUUCUUGGGGUUGGAACAAGGGCAAGGUUUGUGGAGUGAUGGUAAUAUCGGAAAAGACAUCAUAAUUGGAGUCAUAGACACCAGAAUAGACCCUUUCCAUCAUCAUUCAGUGGCGAAGGAUUGCCUCCACCACCUGCAAAAUGGAAAUUCCACUGUCAAUUCAAUGGAGGAACAACCUACAACAACAAGCUCAUUGGUGCAAGGAAUUUAGUUCCAAGUGCGACUCAAGAGCUUCCAUUUGAGAGUGAUAUCCACGAAAACACACACUGUUGCAAUAGCUGGGAAGAUUCAUAGAAAAUGCAAGUCUUUUUGAAAAAUGUUAAUAGUGUAGCAGCUGGUAUGAUACCUAAUCUCACAUAGCAAUUUACAAAUUGUGUGAUGCCGAAUUGGAUGGCCCUGAGAGUCCUAUUUUAACACUGCAAUGGACAAAGCUAUGAAGAUGGUCUAGAUGUACUUUCACUUGGUUGGCUCUCUUCCAUUCUUUCAAGACCGAUUGCAGUUGGGGCCUUUUUGAGUUAUUCAAAGGGAAUUUCGUUAGUUGCUUUACAGAAAAUUCUCGCCCUAAACUACGCCACUCUCGUAAACGAAGCUCAUUGGUUUCUCACAGUAGCGUGCACGCACGACAGAAAAAUAGUCGCAUCGGCAAAGCUAUGAAAUGGUGAAGAAUUUGAAGGUGUAACAUUGAUACAACCUAAGGAUUUUUAUCUCUCCAACAACAACAAAUAANCCUUGCAGAAAAUACCGUCGUGGUUUGAUGGAUACUGCAGAUAAAGAACAAGAAGAGAAGAAGAAACUGUAUAUAUUUCAUGAUGAAACUUGUGCUGAUUUGCGUGGAAUGGUGUAUGCAUAUAAAAUUCAAUUUUAAUCAAAUAAAUUUUCACCUAUAACUCAAAGUUUCACCUCAGUGUGGUAUAUUUUUAGGACGAGUUUGGAUAUCCUAAAAAGACAUGUAUAGGAGAUUCAAACUCGUUCUAAAAAUACACCACACUGAGGUGAAACUUUAAGUUAUACAUGAAAAUUUAUUUGAUUAAAACAGAACUUCCUAUAUGCAUACACCAUUCCAUGCAAAUCAAUACAAGUUUGAUCAUGAAGUUUAUACAGUUUCUUUUUCUCUUCUUGUUCUUUAUCUGCAGUAUCCAUUAAUCCACAACGAUAUUUUCUACUAGGAAAAAUUAAACAGAUGAUCACAACUUAAUGACAUAUAUUGUAAAUGUCAAAAGGUUGGAAAAUGUAACUUCAAUAAAAUCACAAGAUAACUGGUAUCACUCUUUUCUUCCAAAAGCUUUGGAUUACAAAGAAAGGGUGAUGUUCUCUUACCACAAUGUUGCAUUUGGCCUGAAGAUCUUCGAGAGAAGCAUGAAGUUGUGUCAGUAAGACUUAAGAGAAAACUCUCUUUGCAUACAACUCACACUCUAACUUUCUUGGGGUUGGAAUGAACAAGGCAGGUUUGUGGAGUGAUGGUAAUAUCGGGAAAGACAUCAUAAUUGGAGUCAUAGACACCAGAAUAGACCCUUUCCAUCCAUCAUUCAGUGGCGAGGAUUGCCUCCACCACCUGCAAAAUGGAAAAUCUCACUGUCAAUUCAAUGGAGGAACAACCUACAACAACAAGCUCAUUGGUGCAAGGAUUUAGUUCCAAGUGCGACUCAAGAGCUUCCAUUUGAGAGUGAUAUCCACGAAAACCACACUGUUGCAAUAGCUGGGGAAGAUCAUAGAAAAUGCAAGUCUUUUUUUGAAAAAUGUUAAUAGUGUAGCAGCUGGUAUGAAUCCUAAUGCUCACAUAGCCAAUUUACAAAUUUGUGAUGCCGAAAUUGGAUGCCCUGAGAGUCCUAUUUUAACUGCAAUUGACAAAGCUAUUGAAGAUGGUCUAGAUGUACUUUCACUUGGUUGGCUCUCUUCCAUUCUUUCAAGACCGAUUGCAGUUGGGCUUUUUAGUUAUUCAAAAGGAAUUUCGUAGUUCCUUUACAGAAAAUUCUCGCCCUAACUACGCCACUCUCGUAAACGAAGCUCAUUGGUUUCUCACAGUAGCGUGCACGCACGACAGAAAAAUAGUCGCAUCGCAUCGGCAAAGCUAUGAAAUGGUGAAGAAUUGAAGGUUAACAUUGAUACAACCUAAGGAUUUUUCUCAAACAAUUUGUUGCCCCUUGUUAUGGUAGGCUGCACAAAAUAGCAAUCAGUCCUUUGUGUACCAGAGUAUCUAAAGGAACAUUAACGUACGAGGAAAAUUAGCUGUUUUUGUGAUAUGCAAGAGAAGCUCCAAGUAUUGUUCCAGGGAAAGAAGUUCUAACUCAGGUGAUGGCUGACAUGAUACUUGCAAAUUCAACAACUUUAAAUUUCAGCAUUUUUGUUAUUCCUCAUGUUUUACCGACCGUUGAAGUGACUUAUGCAGCUGGUUUAAUGAUCAAACAUUACAUAAACAAAACAUACAACCCAACGACAUUGUCAUUCAAAGGAACGAUGUUUGGUGAUUCAAACGCUCCUUUUGUGGUCUCAUUUUCUUCUAGAGGACCAAAUCCGAGAAAGUUCUGGAAUUCUUAAACCAGACAUCAUUGGAACAGGUGUCAACAUUCUUGCUGCAUGACCUGUUUCUGUAGACAACAAAUUCCCAUCCUAUAACAUUAUUUCUGGUACUUCGAUGUCUUUCCCACAUCUCAGCGAUAUUGCUGCAUUGAUUAAAAGUUCUCACCCUGAUUGGUCGUCGUCCGCUAUAAAAUCAACAAUCAAGACAACAACUAAUACUGUCAACCUUGGUGGCUUACCUAUAAAGAUCAAAGACUUCUACCUGCUGAUGUUUUUGCUACUCGUGCAUGACAUGUUAAUCAUGUUAAAGCAAAUGAUCUAGGGCUUGUUUAUGAUAUUCAUCCUGAUAAUUAUAUUCCUUAUUUGUGUGGUUUAGGGUAUUCUGUGAGAAAGUCUGAGAUUAUUGUUAAUGGAAGUUCAACAUUAAUGACAUAUCAUAUACAUAUUUCUAUUCUUGCGAGACAGUAGUCAAUUUGGUAGGAUGAGCUUAUUUAGCUUUCCGUAACAUGAAUUCUCUUGCUACCAAUCACUCAUAUACUAUCUCUUAAGUAAACCACUUGAAACUGUAAAUCAUAAAAUCAAACUUUGCAAGCAUGGAUGAUUCAUUCAUAUGAGGUUAAAUUCUUAUUCUUUUUGGAAAGUGAUGGCUAAAGAUAUUCACAUAUGAGGAUGAUCUGAGUGCUUAUUCAGACAUGCUACAAUCUAGAUUAUUGUUCUCAUAUGUUCUUUAAGGAACCUAGUAAACAAAGGGACUGAUUCUUAUUUUGUGCACCUACAUACACAAGGGGCAACAAUUAUUGAGAAAAAUCCUUAGGUUAUAUCAAUGUUUCACCUUCAAAAUUUUCACCAUUUCCUUGCUUUGCCGAUGCGAUUAUUUUUCUGUUGUGCGUGCUUGCACCUACUAUGAGAAACCAAGGAGCUUUGUUUACCAAGGUGGCGUAGUUAGGGCCAGAAUUUCCUGCAGAGCAACUAACAAAAAUUCCCUUUUGAAUAGCUGCAAAAGCCCCAACUGCAAUCGGAUCUUGAAAGAUUGGAAGAGAACCAAAACCAAGUGAAAGAAAAAGUACAUCUACACCAUCUUCAAUAACUUUGUUCAUUGCAGCUAAAACAACACUUUCAGGGCAUCCAAUUUUGGCAUCACACAUUUUGUAAAUUGCUAUGUGACCAUUAGGUGCCAUACCAGCCGUUACACCCUUAGCAUUUUCAAAAAGACCUUCAUUUUCUAUGAAUCUUCCUCCAGCUAUUGCAACAGUGUGUGUUCCAUGGAUAUCACUCUCAAAUGGAAGCUUUUGAGUCACACUUGAGACUAAAUUCCUUGCACCAAUGAGCUUGUUGUUGCAGGUUGUUCCUCCAUUGAAUUGACAGUGGCAUUUCCAUUUUGCAGGUGGUGGAGGCAUUCCUUCGCCACUGAAUGAUGGAUGGAAAAGGUUUAUCCUGGUGUCUAUGACUCCAAUUAUGAUAUCUUUUCCAAGAUUAUCAGCACUCCACAAACCUUGCCCUUUUUUCAACCCCAAGAAAGUUGGAGUGUGAAUUCUAUGCAAAGAGAGUUUUCUCUCAAGUCUUACUGACACAACUACAUGCUUCUCUCGAAGAUCUUCAACGCAAAUCCAGAUGCAACAUUGUGGUAAGAGAACACCACCCUUUCUUUGCAAUGGAAAGCUUUUGGAAGAAAAGAGUGAUACUAGUUAUCUUGUGAUUGUAUUGAAGUUACAUUUUCCAACCUUUUGACAUUAACAUUGUAUGUUAUUAAGUUGUGAUCAUCGGUUGAUCUCCUUGCAUGAAAAAAAUACCGUCGUUGGUUUGUAUGAUACCUACAGAUAAAGAACAAGAAGAGAAGAAGAAACUGUAUAUAUUUCAUGAUGAAACUUGUGCUGAUUUGCGUGGAAUGGUGUAUGCAUAUAAAAUUCAAUUUUAAUCAAAUAAAUUUUCUCCUAUAACUCAAAGUUGCACCUCAGUGUGGUAUAUUUUUAGGACGAGUUUGGAUAUCCUAAAAAGACACGUAUAGGAGAUUCAAACUCGUUCUAAAAAUACACCACACUGAGGUGAAACUUUAAGUUAUACAUGAAAAUUUAUUUGAUUAAAACAGAACUUCCUAUAUGCAUACACCAUUCCAUGCAAAUCAACACAAGUUUCAUCAUGAUGUUGAUACAGUUUCUUUUUCUCUUCUUGUUCUUUAUCUGCAGUAUCCAUUAAUCCACAACGAUAUUUUCUACUAGGAAAAAUUAAACAGAUGAUCACAACUUAAUAACAUAUAUUGUAAAUGUCAAAAGGUUGGAAAAUGUAACUUCAAUAAAAUCACAAGAUAACUGGUAUCACUCUUUUCUUCCAAAAGCUUUGGAUUACAAAGAAAGGGUGGUGUUCUCUUACCACAAUGUUGCAUUUGGCCACUUCUAGAAGCUCUCUUCGUACUUCAACACAGUCAUUCUGAAUUCUCUAAACUCUCUUUGCAUACAACUCACACUCUAACUUUCUUGGGGUUGGAACAAGGGCAAGGUUUGUGGAGUGAUGGUAAUAUCGGAAAAGACAUCAUAAUUGGAGUCAUAGACACCAGAAUAGACCCUUUCCAUCCAUCAUUCAGUGGCGAAGGAUUGCCUCCACCACCUGCAAAAUGGAAAUUCCACUGUCAAUUCAAUGGAGGAACAACCUACAACAACAAGCUCAUUGGUGCAAGGAAUUUAGUUCCAAGUGCGACUCAAGAGCUUCCAUUUGAGAGUGAUAUCCACGAAACACACACUGUUGCAAUAGCUGGGGAAGAUUCAUAGAAAAUGCAAGUCUUUUUGAAAAAUGUUAAUAGUGUAGCAGCUGGUAUGAUACCUAAUGCUCACAUAGCAAUUUACAAAUUGUGUGAUGCCGAAAUUGGAUGCCCUGAGAGUCCUAUUUUAACUGCAAUGGACAAAGCUAUUGAAGAUGGUCUAGAUGUACUUUCACUUGGUUUUGGCUCUCUUCCAUUCUUUCAAGACCCGAUUGCAGUUGGGGCUUUUGUAGUUAUUCAAAAGGGAAUUUUCGUUAGUUGCUUUACAGAAAAUUCUCGCCCUAACUACGCCACUCUCGUAAACGAAGCUCAUUGGUUUCUCACAGUAGGUGCACGCACGACAGAAAAAUAGUCGCAUCGGCAAAGCUAUGAAAUGGUGAAGAAUUUGAAGGUGUAACAUUGAUACAACCUAAGGAUUUUUCUCAACAAUUGUUGCCCCUUGUGUAUGUAGGUGCACAAAAUAGGAAUCAGUCCUUUUGUUUACCAGGUUACUUAAAGAACAUUAACGUACGAGGAAAAUUAGUGUUUUGUGAUAUGCAAGGAGAAGCUCCAAGUAUUGUUCCAGGAAAGAAGUUCUAAACUCAGGUGAUGCUGACAUGAUACUUGCAAAUUCAACAACUUUAAAUUUCAGCAUUUUUGUUAUUCCUCAUGUUUUACCGACCGUUGAAGUGACUUAUGCAGCUGGUUUAAUGAUCAAACAUUACAUAAACAAAACAUACAACCCAACGACAUUGUCAUUCAAAGGAACGAUAAUUGGUGAUUCAAACGCUCCUUUUGUGGUCUCAUUUUCUUCUAGAGGAGCAAAGGCGAGAAUGUUCUGGAAUUCUUAAACCAGACAUCAUUGGACCAGGUGUCAACAUUCUUGCUGCAUGACCUGUUUCUGUAGACAACAAAUUCCCAUCCUAUAACAUUAUUUCUAGUACUUCGAUGUCUUUCCCACAUCUCAGCGGUAUUGCUGCAUUGAUCAAAAGUUCUCACCCUGAUUGGUCGUCGUCCGCUAUAAAAUCAACAAUCAAGACAACAACUAAUACUGUCAACCUUGGUGGCCUACCUAUAAAGAUCAAAGACUUCUACCUACUGAUGUUUUUGCUACUGGUGCAUGACAUGUUAAUCAUGUUAAAGCAAAUGAUCUAGGGCUUGUUUAUGAUAUUCAUCCUGAUGAUUAUAUUCCUUAUUUGUGUGGUUUAGGGUAUUCUGUGAGAGAGUAUGAGAUUAUUGUUAAUGGAAGUUCAACAUUAAUGACAUAUCAUAUACAUAUUGCUAUUCUUGCGAGACAGUAGUCAAUUUGGUAGGAUGAGCUUAUUGAGCUUUCCGUAACAUGAAUUCUCUUGCUACCAAUCACUCAUAUACUAUCUCUUAAGUAAACCACUUGAAACUGUAAAUCAUAAAAUCAAACUUUGCAAGCAUGCAUGAUUCAUUCAUAUGAGGUUAAAUUCUUAUUCUUUUUGGAAAGUGAUGGCUAAAGAUAUUCACAUAUGAGGAUGAUCUGAGUGCUUAUUCAGACAUGCUACAAUAUAGAUUAUUGUUCUCAUAUGUUCUUUAAGGAUCCUAGUUAACAAAGGGACUGAUUCCUAUUUUGUGCACCUACGUACACAAGGGGCAACAAUUAUUGAGAAAAAGCCUUAGGUUAUAUCAAUGUUUCACCUUCAAUUUUUUCACCAUUUCCUAGCUUUGCCGAUGCGAUUAUUUUUCUGUUGUGCGUGCUUGCACCUACUGUGAGAAACCAAGGAGCUUUGUUUACUAGAGUGGCGUAGUUAGGGCCAUAAUUUCCUACAGAGCAACUAACGAAAAUUCCCUUUUGAAUAGCUGCAAAAGCCCCAACUGCAAUCGGAUCUUGAAAGAAUGGAAGAGAACCAAAACCAAGUGAAAGAGAAAGUACAUCUACACCAUCUUCAACAACUUUGUUCAUUGCAGCUAAAACAACACUUUUAGGGCAUCCAAUUUUGGCAUCACACAUUUUGUAAAUUGCUAUGUGAGCAUUAGGUGCCAUACCAGCCGUUACACCCUUAGCAUUUUCAAAAAGACCUGCAUUUUCUAUGAAUCUUCCUCCAGCUAUUGCAACAGUGUGUGUUCCAUGGAUAUCACUCUCAAAUGGAAGCUUUUGAGUCACACUUGAGACUAAAUUACUUGCACCAAUGAGCUUGUUGUUGCAGGUUGUUCCUCCAUUGAAUUAACAGUGGCAUUUCCAUUUUAUAGGUGGUGGAGGCAUUCCUUCGCCACUGAAUGAUGGAUGGAAAAGGUUUAUCCUGGUGUCUAUGACUCCAAUUAUGAUAUCUUUUCCGAGAUUAUCAACACUCCACAAACCUUGCCCUUUUUUCAACCCCAAUAAAGUUAGAGUGUGAAUUCUAUGCAAAGAGAGUUUUCUCUCAAGUCUUACUGACACAACUAUAUGCUUCUCUCGAAGAUCUUCAACGCAAGUCCAGAUGCAACAUUGUGGUAAGAAAACACCACCCUUUCUUUGCAAUCGAAAGCUUUUGGAAGAAAAGAGUGAUACUAGUUAUCUUGUGAUUGUAUUGAAGUUACAUUUUCCAACCUUUUGACAUUAACAUUGUAUGUUAUUAAGUUGUGAUCAUCGGUUUGAUUCUUCCUUGCAGAAAAUACCGUCGUGGUUUGAUGGAUACUGCAGAUAAAGAACAAGAAGAGAAGAAGAAACUGUAUAUAUUUCAUGAUGAAACUUGUGCUGAUUUGCGUGGAAUGGUGUAUGCAUAUAAAAUUCAAUUUUAAUCAAAUAAAUUUUCACCUAUAACUCAAAGUUUCACCUCAGUGUGGUAUAUUUUUAGGACGAGUUUGAAUAUCCUAAAACGACAUGUAUAGGAGAUUCAAACUCGUUCUAAAAAUACACCACACUAAGGUGAAACUUUAAGUUAUACAUGAAAAUUUAUUUGAUUAAAACGGAACUUCCUAUAUGCAUACACCAUUCCAUGCAAAUCAACACAAGUUUCAUCAUGAAGUUUAUACAGUUUCUUUUUCUCUUCUUGUUCUUUAUCUGCAGUAUCCAUUAAACCACAACGAUAUUUUCUACUAGGAAAAAUUAAACAGAUGAUCACAACUUAAUGACAUAUAUUGUAAAUGUCAAAAGGUUGGAAAAUGUAACUUCAAUAAAAUCACAAGAUAACCGGUAUCACUCUUUUCUUCCAAAAGCUUUGGAUUACAAAGAAAGGGUGGUGUUCUCUUACCACAAUGUUGCAUUUGGCCUGAAGAUCUUCGAGAGAAGCAUGAAGUUGUGUCAGUAAGACUUAAGAGAAUUCUCUUACCACAAUGUUGCAUUUGGCCUGAAGAUCUUCGAGAGAAGCAUGAAGUUGUGUCAGUAAGACUUAAGAGAAAACUCUCUUUGCAUACAACUCACACUCUAACUUUCUUGGGGUUGGAACACGGGUAAGGUUUGUGGAGUGAUGGUAAUAUCGGAAAAGACAUCAUAAUUGGAGUCAUAGACACCAGAAUAGACCAUUUCCAUCCAUCAUUCAGUGGCGAAGGAUUGCCUCCACCACCUGCAAAAUGGAAAUUCCACUGUCAAUUCAAUGGAGGAACAACCUACAACAACAAGCUCAUUGGUGCAAGGAAUUUAGUUCCAAGUGCGACUCAAGAGCUUCCGUUUGAGAGUGAUAUCCACGAAACACACACUGUUGCAAUAGCUAGGGAAGAUUCAUAGAAAAUGCAAGUCUUUUUGAAAAAUGUUAAUAGUGUAGCAGCUGGUAUGAUACCUAAUGCUCACAUAGCAAUUUACAAAUUGUGUGAUGCCGAAAUUGGAUGCCCUGAGAGUCCUAUUUUAACUGCAAUGGACAAAGCUAAUGAAGAUGGUCUAGAUGUACUUUCACUUGGUUUUGGCUCUCUUCCAUUCUUUCAAGACCCGAUUGCAGUUGGGGCUUUUGUAGUUAUUCAAAAGGGAAUUUUCGUUAGUUGCUUUACAGAAAAUUCUCGCCCUAACUACGCCACUCUCGUAAACGAAGCUCAUUGGUUUCUCACAGUAGGUGCACGCACGACAGAAAAAUAGUCGCAUCGGCAAAGCUAUGAAAUGGUGAAGAAUUUGAAGGUGUAACAUUGAUACAACCUAAGGAUUUUUCUCAACAAUUGUUGCCCCUUGUGUAUGUAGGUGCACAAAAUAGGAAUCAGUCCUUUUGUUUACCAGGUUAUUUAAAGAACAUUAACGUACGAGGAAAAUUAGUGUUUUGUGAUAUGCAAGGAGAAGCUCCAAGUAUUGUUCCAGGAAAGAAGUUCUAAACUCAGGUGAUGCUGACAUGAUACUUGCAAAUUCAACAACUUUAAAUUUCAGCAUUUUUGUUAUUCCUCAUGUUUUACCGACCGUUGAAGUGACUUAUGCAGCUGGUUUAAUGAUCAAACAUUACAUAAACAAAACAUACAACCCAACGACAUUGUCAUUCAAAGGAACGAUAAUUGGUGAUUCAAACGCUCCUUUUGUGGUCUCAUUUUCUUCUAGAGGAGCAAAGGCGAGAAUGUUCUGGAAUUCUUAAACCAGACAUCAUUGGACCAGGUGUCAACAUUCUUGCUGCAUUACCUGUUUCUGUAGACAACAAAUUCCCAUCCUAUAACAUUAUUUCUAGUACUUCGAUGUCUUUCCCACAUCUCAGCGGUAUUGCUGCAUUGAUCAAAAGUUCUCACCCUGAUUGGUCGUCGUCCGCUAUAAAAUCAACAAUCAAGACAACAACUAAUACUGUCAACCUUGGUGGCCUACCUAUAAAGAUCAAAGACUUCUACCUACUGAUGUUUUUGCUACUGGUGCAUGACAUGUUAAUCAUGUUAAAGCAAAUGAUCUAGGGCUUGUUUAUGAUAUUCAUCCUGAUGAUUAUAUUCCUUAUUUGUGUGGUUUAGGGUAUUCUGUGAGAGAGUAUGAGAUUAUUGUUAAUGGAAGUUCAACAUUAAUGACAUAUCAUAUACAUAUUGCUAUUCUUGCGAGACAGUAGUCAAUUUGGUAGGAUGAGCUUAUUGAGCUUUCCGUAACAUGAAUUCUCUUGCUACCAAUCACUCAUAUACUAUCUCUUAAGUAAACCACUUGAAACUGUAAAUCAUAAAAUCAAACUUUGCAAGCAUGCAUGAUUCAUUCAUAUGAGGUUAAAUUCUUAUUCUUUUUGGAAAGUGAUGGCUAAAGAUAUUCACAUAUGAGGAUGAUCUGAGUGCUUAUUCAGACAUGCUACAAUAUAGAUUAUUGUUCUCAUAUGUUCUUU